AAAGGGAGACCUAAUUCGGGUAGAAGACGAAAAAAUAGUAGUCGAAACCAAGAAUCAAUCCCAAAAGGUCGGAACGAGGUAUGUGGCUUUCAAACUAGGUUCUGGGUUCACAAAAGACCUGAAUCAGGAACAAGGGCUAUUAGCUCAGGUGGUUAGAGCGCACCCCUGAUAAGGGUGAGGUCCCUGGUUCGAGUCCAGGAUGGCCCACCUGCACAGGUGGCAAAAACAAGAGAAACGAGGAAUCAGCACCUUAUCUUAUAUACAUAUAUAAGAGAGAAUGCUGGCUCUGAGUUCAGAGUCCAGAGGAACCUUGAAAACUGCAUAGAGCUAGGUGAAAAAGCCAAAAAAGAAGACCGCAAG
rnacentral:tRNA from 1 species